UACGAAGGGGGCUAGGGUUGUUCGGAAUUACUGGGCGUAACGCGCACGUAGGCGGAUAUUUAAGUCAGGGGUGAAAUCCCGCAGCUCAACUGCGGAACUGCCUUUGAUACUGAGUAUCUUGAGUAUGGACUAGGUAAGUGGAAUUCCGAGUGUAGAUGUGAAAUUCGUAGAUAUUCGGAGGAACACCAGUGGCGAAGGCGGCUUACUGGUCCAUUACUGACGCAGAGGUGCGUAAGCGUGGGGAGCAAACAGG
rnacentral:rRNA from 1 species